AGAACGAACGCUGGCGGCAGGCCUCAAACAUGCAAGUCUAGGGGGCGUAGCAAUACGUCACCGGCGGACGGGUGCGUAACACGUGGGAAUGUACUUACUGGUUCGGAACAACUCAGGGAAACUUGAGCUAAUACCGAAUGUGCCCGAAAGGGGAAAGAUUUAUCGCCAGUAAAUCAGCCCGCGUCCGAUUAGCUAGUUGGCGGGGUAAAGGCCCACCAAGGCGACGAUCGGUAGCUGUUCUGAGAGGAAGAUCAGCCACACUGGGACUGAGACACGGCCCCAGACUCCUACGGGAGGCAGCAGUUGGGAAUCUUGGACAAUGGGGGAAACCCUGAUCCAGCCAUGCCGCGUGAGUGAUGAAGGCCUUCGGGUUGUAAAACUCUUUCGACGGGGACGAUAAUGACGGUACCCGUAGAAGAGCUCCGGCUAACUUCGCGCCAGCAGCCGC
rnacentral:rRNA from 1 species